UCGAACGAAAAGAGGGAAAGAGCUUGCUCUUUCCGGAAUUGAGUGGCACCUUAAAGAGUAACACGUAAACAACCUGCCUUCAGGAUGGGGACAACAGACGGAAACGACUGCUAAUACCGAAUAAGUUCCAAGGGCCGCAUGGCCCAUGGAAGAAAAGGUGGCCUCUACCUGUAAGCUAUCGCCUGAAGAGGGGUUUGCGUCUGAUUAGCUGGUUGGAGGGGUAACGGCCCACCAAGGCGACGAUCAGUAGCCGGUCUGAGAGGAUGAACGGCCACACUGGAACUGAGACACGGUCCAGACUCCUACGGGAGGCAGCAGUGGGGAAUCUUCCGCAAUGGGCGAAAGCCUGACGGAGCAACGCCGCGUGAGUGAUGACGGCCUUCGGGUUGUAAAACUCUGUGAUCCGGGACGAAAAGGCAGAGUGCGAAGAACAAACUGCAUUGACGGUACCGGAAAAGCAAGCCACGGCUAACUACGUGCCAGCAGCCGCGGUAAUACGUAGGUGGCAAGCGUUGUCCGGAAUUAUUGGGCGUAAAGCGCGCGCAGGCGGCUUCCCAAGUCCCUCUUAAAAGUGCGGGGCUUAACCCCGUGAUGGGAAGGAAACUGGGAAGCUGGAGUAUCGGAGAGGAAAGUGGAAUUCCUAGUGUAGCGGUGAAAUGCGUAGAGAUUAGGAAGAACACCGGUGGCGAAGGCGACUUUCUGGACGAAAACUGACGCUGAGGCGCGAAAGCGUGGGGAGCAAACAGGAUUAGAUACCCUGGUAGUCCACGCCGUAAACGAUGGAUACU
rnacentral:rRNA from 1 species